rnacentral:rRNA from 1 species
GACGAACCGUGCGAACGUUAUUCGGAAUCACUGGCUUAAAGCGCGUGUAGGCGGGUGACCGCGUCGGUCGCUGAAAGCCCCCGGCUCAACCGGGGGAUGGGCGCCGAAACGGGUCGCCUGGAGGGCGUAGGGGACCUGGAACUUCCGGUGGAGCGGUGAAAUGCGUAGAGAGUCGGAAAGAACACCAACGGCGAAAGCACUCUGCUGGGCCGACACUGACACUGAGAGACGAAAGCUAGGGGAGCGAAUGGG